rnacentral:rRNA from 1 species
UACGGAGGAUCCGAGCGUUAUCCGGAAUUAUUGGGUUUAAAGGGUGCGUAGGCGGCCCGCUAAGUCAGUGGUGAAAGACGGUGGCUCAACCAUCGCAGUGCCGUUGAUACUGGCGGGCUUGAAUGUACUUGGGGCAGGCGGAAUGUGGCAAGUAGCGGUGAAAUGCAUAGAUAUGCCACAGAACACCGAUCGCGAAGGCAGCUUACCAAGGUAUGAUUGACGCUGAGGCACGAAAGCGUGGGGAUCGAACAGG